UUUUUGCAUUAGGGAUUGUAGCGGCAUCCUUUUAAUUUUUUAGUUUAAAAAUUAAAAGAUAAAGCGAAUAGCCCGACCUCUU
rfam:Gillisia sp. Hel1_33_143 genome assembly, chromosome: I